rnacentral:misc_RNA from 1 species
UCUCCGUUGGUGAACCAGCGGAGGGAUCAUUACCGAGUGCAGACUCAUAACCCUUUGUGAACCUAUAUCUGUUGCUUCGGCGGCUCGCUCUCGGGCGAGCCCGCCGGUAAUAUCAGUAUCUCUGUUUGAACCCGACGAUACUUCUGAGUGUUCUUAGCGAACAGUUAAAACUUUUAACAACGGAUCUCUUGGCUCUAACAUCGAUGAAGAACGCAGC